AUGUCAACCCUACAAGGUUGACCAGACUAAGAAACCAAUGCCAUGUAGGUCAGGACUACUUUUAUUGUAACAGCUAUAGUAACAGAAUCUUG